rnacentral:tRNA from 1 species
GAGCCAUUAGCUCAGUCGGUAGAGCAUCUGACUUUAAUCAGAGGUCGAAGGUUCGAAUCCUUCCAUGGUUCACCA